AUUGAACGCUGGCGGUAGGCCUAACACAUGCAAGUCGAACGGCAGCACAGGAGAGCUUGCUCUCUGGGUGGCGAGUGGCGGACGGGUGAGGAAUACAUCGGAAUCUACCUUGUCGUGGGGGAUAACGUAGGGAAACUUACGCUAAUACCGCAUACGACCUUCAGGUGAAAGUGGGGGACCGCAAGGCCUCACGCGAUUAGAUGAGCCGAUGUCGGAUUAGCUAGUUGGCGGGGUAAAAGCCCACCAAGUCGACGAUCCGUAGCUGGUCUGAGAGGAUGCUCAGGCAGGCUGGAACGGGGACACGGUCCAGACUCCUACGGGUGGCAGCAGUGGGGAAGAUUGGACAAUGGGCGCAAGCCUGCUCCAGCCAGCCCGCGUGGGUGAAGAAGGCCUUCGGGUUGUAAAGCCCUUUUGUUGGGAAAGAAAUCUUGCCGGUUAAUACCUGGCGAGGAUGACGGUACCCAAAGAAUAAGCACCGGCUAACUUCGUGCCAGCAGCCGCCGUAAGAC
rnacentral:rRNA from 1 species